GUGGGGAAUCUUGCGCAAUGGGCGAAAGCCUGACGCAGCCAUGCCGCGUGAAUGAUGAAGGUCUUAGGAUUGUAAAAUUCUUUCACCGGGGACGAUAAUGACGGUACCCGGAGAAGAAGCUCCGGCUAACUUCGUGCCAGCAGCCGCGGUAAUACGAAGGGGGCUAGCGUUGCUCGGAAUUACUGGGCGUAAAGGGCGCGUAGGCGGACAGCUUAGUCAGAGGUGAAAGCCCAGGGCUCAACCUUGGAAUUGCCUUUGAUACUGGCGAUCUUGAGUGUGAGAGAGGUAUGGGGAACUCCGAGUGUAGAGGUGAAAUUCGUAGAUAUUCGGAAGAACACCAGUGGCGAAGGCGACAUACUGGCUCAUUACUGACGCUGAGGCGCGAAAGCGUGGGGAGCAAACAGGAUUAGAUACCCUAGUAGUCC
rnacentral:rRNA from 1 species